AUUGAACGCUGGCGGCAGGCCUAACACAUGCAAGUCGAACGAGUGGCGGACGGGUGAGUAAUGUCUGGGAAACUGCCUGAUGGAGGGGGAUAACUACUGGAAACGGUAGCUAAUACCGCAUACCAUCGGAUGUGCCCAGAUGGGAUUAGCGAGUCGGUGGGGUAAAGGGUCCCCUAGGCGACGAGCCCUAGCUGUUCUGAGAGGAUGACCAGCCACACUGGAACGGAGACAAGGUCAAGACUCCUACGGGAGACAGCAGUGGGGAAUAUUGCACAAGGGGCGCAAGCCUGAUGCAGCCAUGCCGCGGGAAUGAAGAAGGCGUUCGGGUUGUAAAGUACUUUCAGCGGGGAGGCGUUACCCGAAGAAGAAGCACCGGCUAACUCCGGGCCAGAAGCAGCGGUAAUUC
rnacentral:rRNA from 1 species